GAUGAACGCUGGCGGCGUGCCUAACACAUGCAAGUCGAACGGAGCUGCUUUGAUGAAGUUUUCGGAUGGAUUUAAAACAGCUUAGUGGCGGACGGGUGAGUAACGCGUGGGUAACCUGCCUCACACUGGGGGAUAACAGUUAGAAAUAGCUGCUAAUACCGCAUAAGCGCACGGUUCCGCAUGGAACAGUGUGAAAAACUCCGGUGGUGUGAGAUGGACCCGCGUCUGAUUAGCCAGUUGGCGGGGUAACGGCCCACCAAAGCGACGAUCAGUAGCCGGCCUGAGAGGGUGAACGGCCACAUUGGGACUGAGACACGGCCCAAACUCCUACGGGAGGCAGCAGUGGGGAAUAUUGCACAAUGGGGGAAACCCUGAUGCAGCGACGCCGCGUGAGUGAAGAAGUAUUUCGGUAUGUAAAGCUCUAUCAGCAGGGAAGAAAGUGACGGUACCUGAAUAAGAAGCCCCGGCUAACUACGUGCCAGCAGCCGCGGUAAUACGUAGGGGGCAAGCGUUAUCCGGAU
rnacentral:rRNA from 1 species